CUGCUUUAAAGGCUUUGCUCUUGAUCCGAGCGUUGUAAUAUCGGGCAACUUUCUGUCUGUAGGCUGCCAUUCGAACCUGAGCAAUCUCCCGCCUUUCUUCCAGCAGGUCGAGGUUGGCUCUGAGACUUUGUGCAUUUUGGGGUUCAUCGAAUGUCACGACUCGUACCGACGGGAGUUUAAGCUCGAUCGGGAUGACGGCUU
rnacentral:lncRNA from 1 species